GCUGGUGGCGUGCCUAACACAUGCAAGUCGAACGCGAACGUCCUUCGGGACUAGUAGAGUGGCGAACGGGUGAGUAACGCGUGGGUAAUCUGCCCUCGAGUAGGGGAUAACUUCGGGAAACUGAAGCUAAUACCGUAUAACGGUGCUUUUCUGCGGAAGAGUACACAAAGGUGGGGAUCUUCGGACCUGCCGCUUGAGGAUGAGCCCGCGUACCAUUAGGUAGUUGGUGGGGUAAUGGCCUACCAAGCCUGAGAUGGUUAGCUGGUCUGAGAGGAUGAUCAGCCACACUGGGACUGAGACACGGCCCAGACUCCUACGGGAGGCAGCAGUGGGGAAUCUUGCGCAAUGGGCGAAAGCCUGACGCAGCAACGCCGCGUGUGUGAAGAAGGCCCUCGGGUCGUAAAGCACUAUAAAGUGAGAAGAGAAGGUAGUGGUUAAUAYCCGCUGCCCCGACGGUAUCACUAGACAAAGCACCGGCUAACUCCGUGCCAGCAGCCGCGGUAAUACGGGGGGUGCAAGCGUUGUUCGGAAUUAUUGGGCGUAAAGGGCGCGUAGGCGGGUUCUUAAGUCUGAUGUGAAAUCCCUCGGCUCAACCGAGGACGUGCAUUGGAUACUGGGAACCUUGAGUCCUGGAGAGGAAAGCGGAAUUCCAAGUGUAGAGGUGAAAUUCGUAGAUAUUUGGAGGAACACCAGUGGCGAAGGCGGCUUUCUGGACAGUGACUGACGCUGAGGCGCGAAAGCGUGGGUAGCAAACAGGAUUAGAUACCCUGGUAGUCCACGCCGUAAACGAUGGGUACUAGUUGGUGCGGGUGUUGACUCCUGCGCUGACGGAGCUAACGCAUUAAGUACCCCGCCU
rnacentral:rRNA from 1 species